AUUGAACGCUGGCGGCAUGCUUUACACAUGCAAGUCGGACGGCAGCACAGAGAAGCUUGCUUCUUGGGUGGCGAGUGGCGAACGGGUGAGUAACAUAUCGGAACGUACCGAGCAGUGGGGGAUAACUAAUCGAAAGAUUAGCUAAUACCGCAUAUUUUCUGAGGAAGAAAGCAGGGGACCUUUGGGCCUUGCGCUGUUUGAGCGGCCGAUAUCUGAUUAGCUAGUUGGUGGGGUAAAGGCCUACCAAGGCGACGAUCAGUAGCGGGUCUGAGAGGAUGAUCCGCCACACUGGGACUGAGACACGGCCCAGACUCCUACGGGAGGCAGCAGUGGGGAAUUUUGGACAAUGGGCGCAAGCCUGAUCCAGCCAUGCCGCGUGUCUGAAGAAGGCCUUCGGGUUGUAAAGGACUUUUGUCAGGGAAGAAAAGGGCGGGGUUAAUACCCCUGUCUGAUGACGGUACCUGAAGAAUAAGCACCGGCUAACUACAUG
rnacentral:rRNA from 1 species